rnacentral:rRNA from 1 species
GAUGAACGCUGGCGGCGUGCCUAAUACAUGCAAGUCGAGCGAACAGACGAGGAGCUUGCUCCUCUGACGUUAUCGGCGGACGGGUGAGUAACACGUGGAUAACCCACCUAUAAGACUGGGAUAACUUCGGGAAACCGGAGCUAAUACCGGAUAAUAUAUUGAACCGCAUUGUUCAAUAGUGAAAGACGGUUUUGCUGUCACUUAUAGAUUGAUCCGCGCCGCAUUAGCUAGUUGGUAAGGUAACGGCUUACCAAGGCAACGAUGCGUAGCCGACCUGAGAGGGUGAUCGGCCACACUGGAACUGAGAAACGGUCCAGACACCUACGGGAGGCAGCAGUAGGGAAUCUUACGCAAUGGGCGAAAGCCUGACGGAGCAACGCCGCGUGAGUGAUGAAGGUCUUCGGAUCGUAAAACUCUGUUAGUAGGGAAGAACAAAUGUGUAAGUAACUAGGCACGUCUUGACGGUACCUAAACAGAAAGCCACGGCUAACUACGUG